rnacentral:rRNA from 1 species
UACGGGGGGGGCAAGCGUUGUUCGGAAUUACUGGGCGUAAAGGGCUCGUAGGCGGCCAACUAAGUCGAAUGUGAAAUCCCUCAGCUUAACUGGGGAACUGCGUCCGAUACUGAUUGGCUUGAAUCCGGAAGAGGGAUGCGGAAUUCCAGGUGUAGCGGUGAAAUGCGUAGAUAUCUGGAGGAACACCGGUGGCGAAGGCGGCAUCCUGGGUCGGGAAUGACGCUGAGGAGCGAAAGCCAGGGGAGCAAACAGG